rnacentral:sRNA from 1 species
GGUUCUGAAGGGUUUCGGGGGAAACAAAUUCGGAGCAGGAGAUUAAGUCUGGAAUAGAGAUGAAGGAUUGUCGUCUGAUCCAAUGCCAAUGAAGAGAGAGACAGAAGAAUAAGUUAGAAGAAUUCGAAUUAUAUUUAUGAGUUUAUAGUUGAAAUCUGAGUUUAAAACAUGUGUAGACAUAUAUUAACUAUGAAUUUAUAAGUGUGAGAUUACGGGAUAUUACCGUAAAUGUAAUGUUACAAUAUAUAAAUUAUGAAUUAUCCAGCGUGAGAUAUUGGGAUGUUACACAACAUGAAUAAUUAAAUCUGAU